CUCGCGCCUCUCAAGCUCGCAUCUCUCUCUCGCUCUCAAACUUACCCUCAAUCCCUCAUCUCUCAUCGAAACUCCCUAUGUCAAAAGCUCCCAAACCUCACGUCUUCCUCAGAAUCGCUCACGAUGCUAACGAAACUAUGGUUCAAAAGGGGGUCGAGUGAAAAUCUCACCUUCAGCGGUGAAGAUAGCUCCGACGAUGCUUUAAUCCUCCUUCCUCGCCUCUCUAAUCCAGGCUGAUUAGGGUUACAAAUGAUGCUCAGAAGGUCGAAAGGAGAAAGUUCCAGGAUUGCUUUUUGAUGCUCAGAGAUGAUUGCCCUGUUUGAUCAUUGGACUCGGAAAGUGAAAAUUUGGGGUAGUGGAUGAGUUUUUUUCAAGAAGGCGCAUUCGUAAACGUCACCUGAAACUGGUUC